AUCAGCCUUUCGGGUGCGAUUCUGUGGAGUGUGAGGAGCUUAACACCUUCAUGCUUUGCAUAUUUGUGCUCUUGGGUGUACUUGCCCGUGUGGUUGGUUAACAUCAAUUUUGGUUAUCAUAAAAUGAUUGGAGGAAUGUAGCUUCGAUCUCGUAUUGAAGUGUUAUAGCCUUCGGUAGAUGUGAUGAUCGAGAUUGAGGAUUGCAACGGAUACCCUUCGGGGCUACCUGUCUGGUCUCUGAUCGUUGCUCUGGUGCCGAAAGCUUGCUUACGGUUAUCAAAGUCGAUGGUCAAUAGGUUAGAACGGGUUAAAUUCGUUAAGGAUGUUGACGUAAUGGCUUU
rnacentral:rRNA from 1 species